rnacentral:rRNA from 1 species
UACAGAGGGUGCAAGCGUUGUUCGGAAUUAUUGGGCGUAAAGGGCGCGUAGGCGGUGCGGUAAGUCUUUUGUGAAAUCUCCGGGCUCAACUCGGAGUCUGCAGGAGAAACUGCCGUGCUUGAGUGUGGGAGAGGUGAGUGGAAUUCCGUGGUAGCGGUGAAAUGCGUAGAUAUCAGGAGGAAUACCGGUGGUGUAGACGGCUCUCUGGACCGCCACUGACGCUGAGACACGAAAGCGUGGGUAGCAAACAGG